rnacentral:lncRNA from 1 species
AAAAAAAGGCAAAUUGUUGGGCCCUACCCCAGAGCUACUAAAUCAGAAACUCUCGGGGUGGGGCCCAACAAUCCUUGUUUUCACAAGUUGCUUCUAGGUGAUCUUAAUGUACUCUAAAAUUUGAGAACCCCUGAUCUAGUUUGCCAUCUUCACUUAGAAAUGAGGGAACAGAGGCCUAGAGAGGGAACUUUUGCCAAGAGCACACAGCUAGUUAGGAUACAGCCACUCUCCCCCUCACCCAUAUGGUCUCAGCUAUUUAUUUUGCAAAUAACUUGGGGGGAUUUUAAUACAUUUUUUCUUAGAGGCAAUUGUUGUGUGGUUUAUAUAUUUUCCAUUUGUUAAUAAGCUACUUAGAUCAGUAGUGUCGCUGGGACCCAAACUAUGGAAUUAUUUUCCAUUAAAGUUCAGGCUCUUGGAAGUGGACUUGGUAGCUACAUGGUCCCUUUCCAGUCUGGCCCCAAGCUCAGGUGGACAAGUCACACUCCCCUGGCUGCUCCCCAAGACACUGGCACCAUCUUCCCCUGUCUGUCCCCAGAUGCCCUCCCUGUAAUGACACCACCAGCACCAUAGUCUUGCUCUGUGCAGAUGUUUUGGUCAAUAAUCCCUCCCUUAAUUUACCAGGCCAAGUGAGGGUGGAUGUGGCAAGAAUAGUUUCGCCCACUGGCCUUUGCUGCCUUCCUGGGAAGAUCUGCCUCUUCUUCCGGCUCUCACAGUGGGCCCAGCAUGUUUCCAAUAUUGCAUCAGUCUUUUCCCCAACAGAGUAACGCUUUAAUGGGGCAAAUUUGUUCUCUGCACGGGAAACAUGUGGGCCCUUGUCAGGUGCUGCAUCAGAGUGAGUUGCCCUCCACCAGCUUCCUAGAUCUGGCCGUGUGAGGAGGCAGAAGGAGCCCUCUGAGACUUUGGGCCCUAGAGUAAAUUGGAGUCUCCCUGGAGUAUUGCAAAGCCGGGUUUGGAAAUCUCAGAUGAAGAGAAUGUUGGGCAAUGGAUGAUGGAGAAAAAGGAGAAACAAAGAGAAAGAGAAUGAUUCUUCAAGGCGAAUGACUCGAAAUGGAGAUUUCUUCUAACACCGCGUGAUCACCGACAACUUUUGCAGGACGGGAUGAAACUCCUCUGGGUUUCCAGUCAGAUGUGCGAGUGGGCUCUCUUUAAAUUAUAAACCUGCAGUCUAACAGAGCCUUCAAGGUUAUGGCCAUGAGAAAUGUGAGUGGAGAUAAAACCUCACAUCUUGAGGAUUAACAAGGAGAAUUUUUUAGUAGCAAAAUUAUAUUCUCUUUCAUCCCACAUAAAAAAGAGUUGUAAGUUGUGGACGUUUUCUGCGUGUUAUCAGUUUUAUGUCCUGUAGAAUUCCACCCCUCCAGACAAAUUUCCAU